rnacentral:rRNA from 1 species
UACGUAUGGAGCAAGCGUUAUCCGGAUUUACUGGGUGUAAAGGGAGCGCAGGCGGCUUUGCAAGUCUGAUGUGAAAGGCCGGGGCUCAACCCCGGGACUGCAUUGGAAACUGUAAAGCUAGAGUGCCGGAGGGGUAAGCGGAAUUCCUAGUGUAGCGGUGAAAUGCGUAGAUAUUAGGAGGAACACCAGAGGCGAAGGCGGCUUACUGGACGGUAACUGACGCUGAGGCUCGAAAGCGUGGGGAGCAAACAGG